GGCUCAGGAUGAACGCUGGCGGCGUGCUUAACACAUGCAAGUCGAAUGUAGUUUACUACAUGGCGGACGGGUGAGUAACGCGUGAGCAAUCUGCCCAUAUCUGGGGGAUAACAGUUGGAAACGACUGAUAAUACCGCAUAAUAUCAUUUGAAGGCAUCUUCGUUUGAUCAAAGAUUUAUCGGAUAUGGAUGAGCUCGCGUCUGAUUAGCUUGUUGGUGAGGUAACGGCUCACCAAGGCGACGAUCAGUAGCCGACCUGAGAGGGUGAUCGGCCACAUUGGAACUGAGACACGGUCCAAACUCCUACGGGAGGCAGCAGUGGGGAAUAUUGGGCAAUGGAGGAAACUCUGACCCAGCAACGCCGCGUGAAUGAUGAAGGUCUUCGGAUUGUAAAGUUCUUUUCUUGGGGAAGAAGAAAGUGACGGUACCCAAGGAAUAAGCCUCGGCUAACUACGUGCCAGCAGCCGCGGUAAUACGUAGGAGGCAAGCGUUAUCCGGAAUGACUGGGCGUAAAGGG
rnacentral:rRNA from 1 species